AUUGAACGCUGGCGGCAUGCCUGACACAUGCAAGUCGAACGGCAGCACGGGGCAACCUGGUGGCGAGUGGCGAACGGGUGAGUAAUGCAUCGGAACGUACCUUUCAGUGGGGGAUAACGUAGCGAAAGUUACGCUAAUACCGCAUAUUCUGUGAGCAGGAAAGCAGGGGAUCGCAAGACCUUGCGCUGAUUGAGCGGCCGAUGUCAGAUUAGCUAGUUGGUGAGGUAAAGGCUCACCAAGGCGACGAUUUGUAGCGGGUCUGAGAGGAUGAUCCGCCACACUGGAAGUGAGACACGGUCCAGACUCCUACGGGAGGCAGCAGUGGGGAAUUUUGGACAAUGGGGGCAACCCUGAUCCAGCCAUGCCGCGUGAGUGAAGAAGGCCUUCGGGUUGUAAAGCUCUUUCGGCCGGGAAGAAAUCGCACGGGCUAAUACCCUGUGUGGAUGACGGUACCGGAAUAAGAAGCACCGGCUAACUACGUGCCAGCAGCCGCCGCGGUAA
rnacentral:rRNA from 1 species